AUGCAAGUCGAGCGAACCAAUGGGAGCUUGCUCCCUGAGGUUAGCGGCGGACGGGUGAGUAACACGUGGGUAACCUGCCUGUAAGAUUGGGAUAACUCCGGGAAACCGGAGCUAAUACCGGAUAACAUUUUGAACCGCAUGGUUCGAAAUUGAAAGAUGGUUUCGGCUAUCACUUACAGAUGGACCCGCGGCGCAUUAGCUAGUUGGUGAGGUAAUGGCUCACCAAGGCGACGAUGCGUAGCCGACCUGAGAGGGUGAUCGGCCACACUGGGACUGAGACACGGCCCAGACUCCUACGGGAGGCAGCAGUAGGGAAUCUUCCGCAAUGGACGAAAGUCUGACGGAGCAACGCCGCGUGAACGAUGAAGGCCUUCGGGUCGUAAAGUUC
rnacentral:rRNA from 1 species